UAUAAUAAUUCUACACGAAAAACACUCUUAUAUCUUAAUUUGAAUAGUCUUGUUUUUUUUUUGUUACUAUAAAAAUAUUAGUCUUUUAUAGGUCGUGCCCUUUUUCUUUUUUAGGUUCUUUAAAUCAUUUAUUUGGAAAAUUAAAACAGGCACGCUGAAAAUCACAAAAAUCUACAGAAAUUUUAAUCACUUAUCCUUAAUUGUUAUAUAUGUCAUGUAUUAUCAUAAAAUUCUAACAAUCAUACCAAAAAGCAAAAUAUUUACUUUAUAUAUUUUAUAAACAUUCUUCAAAAUUAAUGUAUUUUGUUAAGUCUUACCGGCUGGAAGAAGAUUCUAUAAAAUGUAUUGAAGAAACUAUUAAAAGCCUCUUUAAAGGAUGAAAUUACAUAA